rnacentral:lncRNA from 1 species
GGCUUUUUCUCAUAUCGUCCUGUUUCUAUUUUAAGUGGCGCAACGCCACAUCUAAAUUUUGCAUAAGCACUUCUAAAUUUAAUAGAUAUAUUUUGUUUUAAAUAUAACUCUGUACAAUAUUGUGAUUUAUAUCGCUUAUAAGUACGAAGCUUGUUACCAUUACUCUGUGACAAAAUUUUCGUUUGCUAUUCUGCAAUAUAUU